GUAGCCUAGUGGUUAGAGAAGGUAGCCUAGUGGUCAGAGCAGGAAGCCUAGUGGUUAGAGAAGGUAGCCUAGUGGUUAGAGCAGGUAGCCUAGUGGUUCGAGCCAGGUAGCCUAGUGGUUAGAGCAGGUAGCCUAGUGGUUAGUGGUUAGAGCAGGUAGCCUAGUGGUUAGAGCAGGUAGCCUAGUGGUUAGAGCAGGUAGCCUAGUGGUUAGAGCAGGUAGCCUAGUGGUUAGAGAAGGUAGCCUAGUGGUUAGAGAAGGUAGCCUAGUGAUUAGAGCAGGUAGCCUAGUGGUUAGAGAAGGUAGCCUAGUGGUUAGAGCAGGUAGCCUAGUGGUUAGAGAAGGUAGCCUAGUGGUUAGAGCAGGUAGCCUAGUGGUUAGAGAAGGUAGCCUAGUGGUUAGAGCAGGUAGCCUAGUGGUUAGAGAAGGUAGCCUAGUGGUUAGAGAAGGUAGCCUAGUGGUUAGAGCAGGUAGCCUAGUGGUUAGAGAAGGUAGCCUAGUGGUUAGAGCAGGUAGCCUAGUGAUUAGAGCAGGUAGCCUAAUGGUUAGAGAAGGUAGCCUAGUGGUUAGAGCAGGUAGCCUAGUGGUUAGAGCCAGGUAGCCUAGUGGUUAGAGCAGGUAGCCUAGUGGUUAGUGGUUAGAGCAGGUAGCCUAAUGGUUAGAGAAGGUAGCCUAGUGGUUAGAGCAGGUAGCCUAGUGGUUAGAGAAGGUAGCCUAGUGGUUAGAGCAGGUAGCCUAGUGGUUAGAGAAGGUAGCCUAGUGGUUAGAGAAGGUA
ensembl:lncRNA